CCUACGGGAGGCAGCAGUGGGGAAUAUUGGGCAAUGGAGGCAACUCUGACCCAGCAACGCCGCGUGAAUGAUGAAGGUCUUCGGAUUGUAAAGUUCUGUGAUGGGGGAUGAACACAAUGACGGUACCCCAAUAGCAAGCCACGGCUAACUACAUGCCAGCAGCCGCGGUAAUACGUAGGUGGCAAGCGUUAUCCGGAAUGACUGGGCGUAAAGGGUGCGUAGGUGGUUUAGUAAGUUGGCGGUGUAAUUCCGGGGCUCAACCUCGGCGCUACCGCCAAAACUAUUAGACUAGAGUGCAGGGGGGGUAAGUGGAAUUCCUAGUGUAGCGGUGGAAUGCGUAGAUAUUAGGAGGAACAUCAGGGGCGAAGGCGACUUACUGGACUGUAACUGACACUGAGGCACGAAAGCGUGGGGAGCAAACAGGAUUAGAUACCCCGGUAGUC
rnacentral:rRNA from 1 species